UCAACAUCAUCCAUAAGAAAAUUGACCUCCAGACAGAAGGUGGUCUUCCAAACAAGAUACAAGCUCCAAUGUCAGAGUCUCCUUAUCUUACAGAAGAGAGCUGCCUCCAAAAUGGAAGUGGGAUAUUCCUUCAGAACAGGGAAGCCAGCAUGAAAGAGAAGUUUCCCACAGAUGAAAGAAAAGGCUGACAUAAGGAAGAGCUCUGCUUUUCCUGGAGAUACCGACUCCACUCGCUGCCUCACAAGGCCUGCUCAGGCUACUAUCCAGAUACCACAAAGAUUUAUCCAGAAAAACUUAGGAAUUAGAAAAUUUCAGUAAAACUUUUUAUUUUGCCAUGAAAGGGACUUAAGAUGUUGAAAAACAGAUCCUUCCUUAAAAAAAAAAAAAAUGGUUUGGAGAAACACUAGAUCCUUCCUGACUUGAGAAAGGGACUGAAGAUGUCUUAAAAGUGAUCUUCCAGAAGAAGGUGGACAGAUCCCUGCCAAUUGUGCCCCCAUCCUGCCUGCUGAUGGUUCCAGAGUCCUGUGUGCCCUUGUUUCUGCAGAUCAUUUGAGAACGGAUCCGUUGGCUGGAGGAUUAAGCACAGAACGGGUCAUUCUACCAGAUGGGUCAUGACUAAACCACCUGCUGUGGGUAUGGCAAGAUGAUGAGAGCACAUUUCAUAAGUCAUCACAGAUGAACAGGAUGUGUGCGUUCACCAACAGCAGUAAUCCACUUUCUAUUACAGAGAUGUCAUCUCAAACAUUUUAUUUACUAUUUGAACAAAAAAAAAGUACUAUUAAGACAGAUACAGAAGUCUUCAUGUCCAGUUUAUUCUGCCCUUGUGCCCAAUUUGUAGAAGAGGCCACAACCCUACAGAUGUUCCAUUGUUAGCAUCACAUUAACUCCAUCACAGUGGCAAAUCUUUGCAGGUGAAGCUUAUUCCCAAAGUUAUCUUCUAACAGAAUUCUGCAUCUGGCAGAAAUUUCAAUGGACAAGACAAUGAGGCAGUGUUCAAUCUGCACAGCUGACUGUCUGCCACAGGCUAAUGCCAGAGCCAUUCUGAAAAUGUUAGCUUAAGAGACAGCCCCCUUCUAACUGCGUUCGUUGGGUCUGGUUCAGCAAUAACCUCCUAAAAAGCUGUUUCUGCAAUUUUAAAGCAAAGUGAAAUACAAAAACCCUAACAAACGCCGCGUUUUGAAGACUUACAGCUAGUGCAAAAUAGGCAUCCCACAAGUCAAACGUAAAACAGACGUAGCAACAAAGGCGUCAUUUGUGUCUCAGUACAAAUCCAUACACUUCCGAGGUUCACCCCACUAAAAAAAAAUUUUUAAAAAAAUCUGCAUUUCUUGUUUAUGCAAUUCUAGAAAACUAUCACGUGGCAACACGCAGAAACUCACAGCAGCUAAAAAAUGAAAGUGCCGUAUAGCCAAAAUAAAUGUGAAAGCAAAUCAAGGUUUGUAGCUGCACAUACUAUUGAAACAAGUGAUACACAGUUUGAGCAAAUAGGUUUUGGGUGAGGAAAACCUUCUUCAGAUCCAAAAUACGACCAACCUGCAAACUAAAGCUUUGGUUCCACCAUCAAAGUGGAAUUGCAGACUGCACACUUCUGGUUCAUUACAGAAACCUCAUCAAAAGAAGUGGAAGAAUGAGUAUGAACCGAGUGAAGGAGUGCAAAUCUGUGACCAAUUCCAAACAGCUUCAAUGAGAAAGAGAUUCACCUGGACAUGACUUGUGCAUCAUUAAGGUAAAGAUAUCAUCCCUACAUCAACAGAAACUAAUUUGCCAAGUGCAUCAGACCGUUACAAAAUUGGCACCUAAUAAACUUUGUGACCAGUAUCCAACUCCUCCACGUAAUAUUUGAUCAUGAACUUAAAUCAGUUCAGAAAAAAACCUAAGUAUAUUCACCUGACAGGCAUGAAAAGGUCACUUUUUUAAAAAGGCUUGCUUAAAACACCUGUGCCAAUACAAUAAAGCCAACAGCAUAUACACGUGGUAGGAAGCCAAACCAUCAACUUCUGAAAAAAGAGCAUCAAAAUAUGAAGCA